UUUCGGUAAUUUGGCCCAAAUCACCGGAAUCGGACCCGGAGUCAGUCCGGCGCGCCGCCGUCAGCGUCAGCGUCAGCGCGAGGAUGGAGCGACGGCCCACCGGUGCACGUGUCCGCCGCUUCUCUCCUCCACCGCUUCGGGAGGAGCGGUAAUGCCGAUCCCGCGACGCGUCCUGUAAUCGGCAACGCCGCCGGAUUCCACCGCGGUCGGCCCGGUUUUGCUCGAGCGAUAUAGCGCGCGCGCGAUAGAGAGAGAGAGAGGUGGAGAGAGUCGAGAGGAGAUGAGGGAGGCGUUGCUCCGCCUCGUGGUCUCCAUCUGCUGCUGCUGCUGCUCUGCGAUCGGAAGGUCUUCCGCCACCGUCGUCUUGAAGCCCUCUCUCUCCUUCGAGGGCCUUCCCGCCAAAUACGCUGUACAUGUGGACGAGUCGGGCAUAUGCGGAGCGCUGGAGGUCACCGAUCCCGCGGACGCUUGCUCCGCCCUGCGCGGCGGCGGCGGCGGCGGCGGCGGCGUUCGAUCGAACGGAACUGGUUCGGUUAGGUUCGCGUUGAUCGUGAGGGGCAAUUGUUCGUUCCAGGACAAGAUAGUGAACGCUCAGACUGCCGGUUUCGGCGCGGUCAUCGUGUACGAUGACCGCGAAGAGGCCGAGUUGAUGUACAUGAUGGUUAAUCCCAAGGAAGUCAUGAUUCCCGCAGUAUUUGUUUCGAAUGAAGCUGGUCGGAGUCUAAAGGAGCAUACCCAAGUUGGAACAGGGGAAUGCUGCAUUUACGGAUCUCAUGUCGAAACAGGCUGGACUGUGCUGGCUACAUCACUCAUCUCCCUCAUUCUAAUAUUUUGCGUAUUGGCUUUUGCCUUGUUUAUUCCAAGAUCAUGGUUGUACUGGCGAGGAAGAACACAUCAUGUAAAACAUGUAGAUGAUAAAAUCGUGGCAGAACUUCCCAACUUCACCUUCAAUUCUGCUCGAAGUAGUGCCAAGUACGAUAGGGAAGUUUGUGCCAUCUGUCUUGAGGAUUACAAAGAUGGAGAGAUCCUUAAAACCCUUCCUUGCCAACACGAAUUUCAUUCAGCCUGUGUGGAGUCUUGGCUGAAGAAAGGAGGAUUGUUCUGCCCUGUGUGCAAGCAUGAUGUGAGGACCAAGAGAGCAUGUCAUGAGGCCUUCUUCCAGUUGGCAUCACUGUUUGCAUAAGGUCAAUCUUGUCCAAGUUUGUCCUUGUAGAGUUAUGAGGGCCACUAGUCAUUAGAUCGAAUGCCAGCAACUCCUUGCUGAAGACAGAGACCCUUGUAACUUACAAAGUUAUGCUGGGUGCUAGAUAGUACUACUGUUGAAGAAAAUCAUGGAACAUUACACAGAGAGAAACUGGGCUUUAGUAUCAAGAAGGAAAAUGGCGAUUUGCUCUGCUUUUUGAAACAUCAGGUUUACUUUAAUCCACGCUCGAAAUGAAUCUGUGCGCUCAACUUAUGGAAUCUCCUCCGGCUUAUCUGUGAAGACGAUGUUGCUAGUUGAAGCUCGGCAAUGCUCUUGGUAUUAUUCUAUCGUCGUUGUCAGCAGCGGCAGCAGCGAAAGCCCCUUCACGACCUUUGAGGUUAUAGCUGAAAAGUUAAUCUUGUUCCUUCAAAUGAGGACCUUGUCGUGUUUAGUUCCCUGUAUAUAUCCUGUUCAUAUUGUCGAUCAGAUAGAUGAUCCCAAAUGAGAAAUCAAAAGAUCUUUUAUUACCACAGUCCCACACGACUACAUACUUAUAAUAAUAUCCCUGAAAAUUGUCGGCCCAA